rnacentral:rRNA from 1 species
UGAGGAAUAUUGGUCAAUGGGCGAGAGCCUGAACCAGCCAAGUCGCGUGAGGGAAGACGGUCCUAUGGAUUGUAAACCUCUUUUGCCGGGGAGCAAAGAGCGGCACGUGUGCCGCGCCGAGAGUAUCCGGAGAAAAAGCAUCGGCUAACUCCGUGCC